rnacentral:rRNA from 1 species
CAAGUCUUGACAUCUAACUGACGUAUGGGCAAUGCCAUAUUUCCUUCGGGACAGUUAAGACAGGUGGUGCAUGGUUGUCGUCAGCUCGUGUCGUGAGAUGUUGGGUCAAGUCCCGCAACGAGCGCAACCCUUAUCUUUAGUAGCCAGCAAGUGAAGUUGGGCACUCUAGAGAGACUGCCGGGGAUAACCCGGAGGAAGGUGGGGAUGACGUCAAAUCAUCAUGCCCCUUAUGAUUUGGGCUACACACGUGCUACAAUGGCGUAAACAAAGGGAAGCGAAGUGGUGACGCGGAGCAAAUCCCAAAAAUAACGUCCCAGUUCGGAUUGUAGUCUGCAACCCGACUACAUGAAGCUGGAAUCGCUAGUAAUCGCGGAUCAGAAUGCCGCGGUGAAUACGUUCCC